CCUUUGUCCCAUCUUCCCCCAACUUCGCGGUCUCAAAGAAUUCAAAAACCCUAACUGUAGAUCAAGAACCGUCGAAGGCCAUGGACUCUCGCCGGAGGCCGGCGUCCUCCUCCUCCACCGUCGGCAAUGGCGAUCUAAAUGAUCGCAUCGGCGACCGGAACGAUCGUGGUGAGGAGAAGAAGGCGAGUGCGGGCCAGACUUGUCUUCAAGAACGAGCUCUUCCAUCACCGAGAGCCCGAGCGAGGUGUCCGAGGGCGAUUGUAAAGCAGGAUCUGUUGGCAAUGCCGAUCGAUAGAAUCGGGUCGGUGAGUGGAACGAUCUUUGGGUGGAGAAAAAUGCGAGUUCGGGCUAGACUUGUCUUCAAGAACGAGCUCUUCCACCGUCAAUAACUCGAGCGAGGUGUCCGAGACCUCAAUUGGAUCGGCGAGGGGGACGGUCUUGGUGAAUAUAAGAGGUGCGUUCGGGAGAUAGCGUAGGGAGCGGUGAAAGUUCCGGCGGGGUUCGUGGAACGGCCUUCGACUCCGGUGCAUGUGUGAGCGUUAAGGAGCCUGCUGAGUUCGGAACGAUCUUUCAGCAGAUUCGUGUUCUCUGGGCAUGCAACUCUCUUCAACCUUGGCACAGUAGUUCUGCUUGCAGUAAACAGCAAGCUUGUUAUUGAGAACUUGAUGAGGGUUUGCAAAAUUUCCUAUUCUUGUUGUGGCCAGAUAAAGAAUCGUACAGUCUUUCUUUUGUUUGUGUCUGCUUCAUUAGAACAAUAUUGAUCUUUCUCACUUUAUUCUUGUUGUAUAAUUUACUUAUAGGAAAUGGAUUUUUCUUCAGUUCAAGGUUUC